UACGUAGGUCUCAAGCGUUAUCCGGAUUUACUGGGUGUAAAGGGAGCGUAGACGGCCAGGCAAGUCUGAUGUGAAAGGUGUGGGCUCAACCCGCAAACUGCAUUGGAAACUGUCUAGCUGGAGUGUCGGAGAGGUAAGUGGAAUUCCUAGUGUAGCGGUGAAAUGCGUAGAUAUUAGGAGGAACACCAGCGGCGAAGGCGGCUUACUGGACGAUAACUGACGUUGAGGCUCGAAAGCGUGGGGAGCAAAC
rnacentral:rRNA from 1 species